UGUUGAAGUGGGGUGCCAAAGUCUCCUCCC
rnacentral:piRNA from 1 species